rnacentral:rRNA from 1 species
UUCACGGAGAGUUUGAUCCUGGCUCAGGACGAACGCUGGCGGCGUGCUUAACACAUGCAAGUCGAACGGUGAAGCCCUUCGGGGUGGAUCAGUGGCGAACGGGUGAGUAACACGUGGGCAA